GGGCGCCUGGGUGGCUCAGUGGGUUAAAGCCUCUGCCUUCUGCUCAGGUCAUGAUCCUGGGGUCCUGGGAUCGAGCCCCGCAUCAGGCUCUCUGCUCAGCGGGGAGCCUGCUUCCUCCUCUCUCUCUGCCUGCAUCUCUGCCUACUUGUGAUCUUUGUCUGUCAAAUAAAUAAAUAAAAUCUUUUAAAAAAAAUUUAAAAAAAAACUCAUUUAACUUCAUUUAACUUCAAAAAUUUAACUCUGAAGUCCCACUAUAUGAGAGAAGGAAGGAAUCUUUUUUUUUUUUUCAUGAACUUUGGGAUUUUACAAGAAUUUCUUUUUGUUAUGCCUCAUCCUUUUUGACAAUUGUAGGCAUGCACAUUUUCUUGAAGGUUCUUAACAUGAACUUUACUUGUACACCCAAGGAUGUAGAAUCAAAAUACCUCCACUAGAUGGAGCCAUUUACCUAGAUUAAUCCCAGAGUAUUAGCGCACCGUAGGAACAUACAUAGAAAGUGAGAUUUUCACACCCAACAUGUCAUUUUUACAUGAAAAUAAUCUUGAAAAAUUUUUUUCUGAACGUGAUUUUUAAAUUUCGGUGUUAUUCAGUGUUAAAAUUCAGUGUUAUUCUUCCUUAGAGCACAGGGAAUUUUCACGAGGCUUCCUCAAAAGGAAGCUUCCUCAAAAAGCUUGUCAGUCCAGACAUGACUUCUCAAACUUUAACAUGCAUACAUGUUCCCUGACAGUCUUGUUCAGGAGCAGAUCCCAUUUCAGUAAGUAUGGGUGGGGCCCAUGAGUGCACAUUUCUAAUAGCUUCCCAGAUGAUGUCGCCAUGCUUGUUUACAGACCUUACUUUGGGUUGGCAAGAACCUAGAGAAUUUUUAGGAACCUAAAGUUUCCUUAUGAUAGGAGGGACUAAAUGGUUAUUCAGAAAUGGUUAAGGGCUUUGUGUAUCUUGUCUGCAGUGCCUGGAGCAAUUCCUGAAACAGAAGUAGAUGCCCAGUAAAUGUUUGUUGAAUGAGGACAGUGAGUGUUUUGUGUACAGUAAGUCAUUUAAUAAUCUUGACAGUGUAUGAAGUUGCUUCUUUCUUUCUUUUUCUUUUUUUAAAGGUUUUACUUAUUGAGAGAGAGAGAGAGAAGCAGACUCCCCCACUGAGCCGGGCGCCUGAUGUAGGGCUUGAUUCCAGGAUCCUGAGAUCAUGACCUGAGCCGAAAGCAGUCGCUUAACCGACUGAGCCACCCAGGUGCCCCAAAGGCAGCUGCUAUUAUUAUUACUACUAUUAUUACUCCAGUUCACAGACAAAGAAACUGAAGCCCUAUGUAGUGGAACUGGGAUUUGAACUCAAGCACAUAGUUGAACUUGUCAGUCUGGCUCCACGGCCUGUACUUUUAACAAAGUUACUAUACUGCCACUCAUUUUUAGUCAAGCCCCUCACCAACAAAGAGGCCCAAAGAGAUAGAGACACUUACUGUCCAAAGGCUGUUGUAAUGUAUCACUUCAUGGCCACUUAUUCCUGACAAACUGGGGGUUUGCUAUGCUGCUACAUCGAGUCCCGACAAUGGGAGUGGAGAGUGCGCACUGUCGGCACACAGACCUUUUCCCCACCCUCCGCGCUGGCGGACAGAUUGGGGUGGGAAGGAAAGAAGAGAUGUGCAACUAAGACCCACUGCACAUUCAUGAAGGAACAAGCGCCCCACAGCCCUUACCCCUUUAUCUAAUCUGGUUAAGUUUUGUAGUUUCAUUGACCCAAAGAACGAACAAUGAUUCCAAAUUAGAGAUGACCAAUAGACAGACGCUCCUUAUGUGUUCCUUGGGACACAGCCACCUGGAAUCAUUUAACAUCUCUCUCGCACUCUUGCAGGUGUUUUGCUGAGCCAGGAUCCUGUGUUGGGCCAUCUUUGGCUCACUAUUGAGAAUUGCUAUUCCAGUUAUAUCAUGUAUUGUCAGAAGGAACUUUUACUUUAUAUUUAUUUGCAUUAUUUUUUCCUGAUCUUCUAGGGCUACCAUUUGAUCCCAGAGGCAAACUCAGUCAAAAGGAUACAGAACUACCAGAAGUCGACCAGAAGUCACUCAUUAUUUAAAGAGUCAUGGGACAGCUGAUAAGAGGGUCCAUUGAAAAGUACAUCUCAUUCUGGAGUUAGAGACGAUGCCACAUCAAAGAGCAGGCAGUCGAUCCCAGCUGCAAGCAGGAGAGAAGGGCGUGCCCCCAAGCUGCUCUGAAACAAGAAGAGUGUAAGGAAGAUGAUAUUUAGCUGCUUUCUGCACUUUGAUUAGCAUGUUUCCAUCUCCUUGGCCUUGCAUAGCUGCCUACCUGGAUACCAUCUGCUGAGCUUUUGCUUUUCUUUCUGUUUUAUGUAAAGUUAUUGCUUUCAAUAUGUUGCAGUGGUGUAGGGAAAAACAAGAGAACACCAGACUUCUGGGACACGCCUCUUUCUCUUCAGUCUUCUAAUGGAGCUUAGUUCUGCUGCUGCUUGUUUUCUUCAGUUUGAAGUACAGAGGACUACUGCGCCUGACACGGAAUGCUGUCCUUGAAGAAAUUAGCAGGAAAUAGAGGUUUAUAGGAGCUUCUCCUCUGCUGCUCUUGUCUUGGAAACAAUUAGAAGUACAUUUGCAAAAUUGUAUUGAAAAUAAAUGGGAAAAUUAUGUUUUAUUUUAUAGCCCACUUUUCUGGAACAGAUCUAAUUUUUAAAAAUGUUUUACUAAUUUAUUUGACAGGAAAGGUAGGGAGAGCAAGCACAAGCAAGGGGAGCAGCAGUCUCUCCCCUUGAGCAAUGAGCCCAACGUGGAGAGAUUCCAGGACCCUAGGAUCAGGGCCCAAGCCGAAGGCAGCCACUUAACUGACUGAGCCACCCAGGUGCCCCCAGAGCUAGUUUUAAAUGAAGUAAUGAGGAAAUGGCCUUUGUAACUAAAUGUUGAUUAAGAGGUUGUGAGCUGUGACCCCAAGAUCGGAAAUAAAAGAUCAAACUAAGGAAUGAAAAGGGGGAUAUUCUUUGGAUAUCUUGUCCUCAAAUCUGGGAGACAAGUUAUAUUUUGUAAAACCAGAGAAUGUAGAUUUAGGUAAUUUUGUGUUCAUUUCUCCUGUCUCAUUUGCUACGACUUGUCAAAUUAUGUUAUAGCAGUUAUGUUAGAGCUUUGGUUAUAACAUAUAUGCUUGGACAGAGUUUAAUGGGGACCAGCAACAUCCCCUGAGAGCCAAUUUUGAAUAUUAUUAUCCGAAUUUAAUUUUGUCUUUAUAACAAAAGGCAACUUAUCUUUUAAGAAGUGUACUCAAGCAGUGGUGCCUCGGUGACUCAGUAGGUUAGAUAGCUCUCAAUUUCAGCUCAGGUCAUGAUCUCAGGGUCCUGGGGUUCUGUGCUUAGUAAGGAGUCUGCUUGAGAAUUCUCUCUCCAUCUCCCUCCCAGUCUCCCCCCUCAAAUAAAUAAACCUUUUUUUUUUUUUUAAA